AGAGAGAGAGAGAUGAGGGAGAGAGGUGCGCGCGCGCGCGCGCGCGCAACCGAGUGGCCGGCCGAGCGAGAACGCACAUAGUACGCCGCGUACGGAUUGGAAUGGAACGCGUCGCGGACCUCGGCGAAGGGAGUGUUGUCGGAGAGAAAGAGAGAGAGAUAGAGAGCGAGGGAGAAAUAAAGAGGAAGAAAGAUAGCUGAGUGACAGAAUAUAAAAGUGAACGAAGAGGAUUCGUGUUAUGGAAGAGAAACGCGAAACGGCAGGAUCAAUCGUGUGGAUAACGGACGAAAUGAUGUCCUUCUUAAAAAGGAAGGAUCGUGUCGGCGACACCUGUGUAUUUUGUGCGCUGUCAUAGUACGAGGGACUAACUUAUUCUUCGUCCUGCGAUUUAUUUUUUAACAAAAAGUAUCUCCGUGCUCCGUGGAGUCUUUCUUGAGAUAACUGCGAGACGCGAGAGAGCGUGAGGGAAGGAACAAAAAAUGGUUGAAUCGUGGAGGAAGUAUCAUUGGAGAGAUACGAGUACUGCGACAACGAGGAAAACAAAAACAGCGUAGCGGUCGACGGGUUAGCGAUCGCUCGAAGAAGAAGAAGAAGAA